ACGGAAGGCAGCAGUGGGGAAUAUUGCACAAUGGGCGCAAGCCUGAUGCAGCGAUGCCGCGUGAGGGAAGAAGGUUUUCGGAUUGUAAACCUCUGUCAUCGGGGACGAUAAUGACUGUACCCGAGAAGGAAGCUCCGGCUAACUACGUGCCAGCAGCCGCGGUAAUACGUAGGGGGCAAGCGUUAUCCGGAUUUACUGGGUGUAAAGGGAGCGUAGACGGUUUUGCAAGUCUGAAGUGAAAUGCGGGGGCUCAACCCCUGAACUGCUUUGGAAACUGUAGAACUAGAGUGCAGGAGAGGUAAGCGGAAUUCCUAGUGUAGCGGUGAAAUGCGUAGAUAUUAGGAGGAACACCAGUGGCGAAGGCGGCUUACUGGACUGUAACUGACGUUGAGGCUCGAAGGCGUGGGGAGCAAACAGGAUUAGAUACCCUGGUA
rnacentral:rRNA from 1 species